rnacentral:rRNA from 1 species
UACGUAGGGGGCAAGCGUUGUCCGGAAUCAUUGGGCGUAAAGAGCGUGUAGGCGGCCCGGUAAGUCCGCCGUGAAAGUCCAGGGCUCAACCCUGGAAUGCCGGUGGAAACUGCCGGGCUAGAGUCCGGAAGAGGCGAGUGGAAUUCCUGGUGUAGCGGUGAAAUGCGCAGAUAUCAGGAGGAACACCAAUGGCGAAGGCAGCUCGCUGGGACGGUACUGACGCUGAGACGCGAAAGCGUGGGGAGCAAACAGG